AGCAAAACCUUUCUCUCUCGUUACCUCCUUCCCUUCCCCCACCAGAUCACCACCACUCUCUUCUUUCCCGCACCCCACCAUCCCACACCAGCCGCCACCUAGACGCCACCCCACCCCCCCCUUCCCAAACUAGUCGCCCCCUGUCUUUUGGUUAUUAGUCUCUCCCUGCCGCUCCGAUUGAAAUAAAGAGAAAGAAUUAAGUUUUGCAAAUCCGUGUUCGCGCGAUCAUAAACACAGAACUACGAAAAUUGAGACUUGAGAGCAUAUCAAAACUAGGGUUUAUGGAUUACCAAUAAUACUUGCUUCCUCUAAAACAUUUAAUUGAAUCAAAUGUAGGAAGAACUUCCAAGCUUUGAACUCUGAAGAGAGAAUUAUUAUUAUGGAGGUAGAAAAUGUUGAUGUCAAUGGAAAGAAUCAUAAAACAACAAAAAGAAAAGAGAUUUUACAGAAGAAGAAAUUCAUUGAGGAGUUGAUCAAAGCAGCUUCUUCCCUUAAAGACCCACUUGCUAAUUUUCCUGAUUUUCUGCAUUACAAUAAAAAAGGUCUCUGUUUGUGCUUAGAGGGAGGACAUGGAACCAGGCUGUCACGUUCCUUGAAGCAGUAUGUUCAGAAACUAGUUAAGCUAAACAUGGAACAACAUUUUGGAUCAGACUGGCCGACAGAAGAAAAGGUGAAACAUAGGGAUAUGGUUGCUCCAGAGGCACGCUACAUAUUUGUAUAUGAAGUCCCAAAUCUGGUUAGCACCAAUGAGAAGAUAUCGAAGCCUUCAAAUGAGUGUAAUUGCAAUGUUGUUGGAUUUGUGCACUAUCGUUUUAUAUUGGAGGAAGAGCUCCCAGUUCUCUAUGUAUAUGAGUUGCAACUUGAACCGCACAUACAAGGGAAAGGACUUGGGAAGUUCUUGAUGCAACUUCUUGAGCUUAUUGCUCGUAAGAAUUCUAUGGCUGCUAUUAUGCUUACAGUUCAAAGGCAAAACCGGUCAGCUAUGUUUUUUUACACCAGUAAAUUAGGGUAUUGUGUAUCAAGCAUUUCUCCUUCAAGAGUUGAUCCGCUGGUCGGAUUAAGAAAGAAUUAUGAGAUUCUUUGUAGAACUUUUGACCAGGAAGCCAAGAGCAAGCUGGAGGGUCUGGGUGAGGGAAGGUGACAGAGAAUCCAUACCCGUACUCCCUUCACGGAGAGGACUAGAGGAAUGUGGUCAAUUUUACACUCAAAAAGUAAGAGCCCUUGAUAAAGAGGAUGUGAUAGCCUGUGCGUGACUUUAUUUGGACAUCUUCUAUAGUUAUAAUCUCUUUUUGUCGCAUAACUUUUUUUUCCUCCAUUCCACCGGCAUUUUAAUUCAAGCUACGACAAGGCGGGUAGUGCUAUAUCGGCUGUUCAGACUGUGUUGACUUUUGAUGAAACUACAAGCGUAUUUCUUGCCCCAAAUGCAAGUAAAAAAUCCGCAGUGUAGAAAAUGAUGCAUAAUAAAAGUUCCUUCUUCGACUUUAUGCCCAGACGACACUUACUUAACAAGCUAUCCAGAGUAUGGCGGAUCAUGACACAUUGGGCACACCCGGUUUCACACACUUAACAUCGAUCCUACAUACCCACACACUUUCUUCAAUGAAAUCAUGACGAUGUUCCAUCCCGUCUCCCCUAAAGUUUGACACGAUAACAAUAAAAAGCAAACUAUUCACCAUUAUCAAUGAUUGUGGAGGUUGCGACUUGCGAGCAAUUAAAAGACAACCGGAGAUAAGACGAGACACAAAAUGGGACGAUUUCGAUUGGAUUAGUCUGUCUAUAGUCGAUGAUAUUGGUGUCAAAUUAUACUCGGUUUUGAAUAGGCAGGAAAAGGACUAAUGCACAUUCUUGUAAUACUUAUGUUGUUUAUUUAACAAAGCUGGGACAUUGUUCAUGUUUUUUGUAGUUUACUUACAAUCACUUUUAUUAUAAUUUGUCGUUAUACAAGUCUCUGUCGUGAUGUUAUUGGUCCAUUUCAUACUUUUUUACCGUGUUUGAAGAUACGCGGCAUUACCUAUUUUUUCUUUUUUACAAUUACUUUUUGUGGUUUGAGAUAUUUUUUACAAGAAAUUUUACUACAAUUUUUAUGUAAUUUAAUGCAUGCUGAACUCAUGAUACUAGAAUAUUUUUCUUUUAUUAUAAUGGAUUUAUUUUGUUGUCAUUUUUCUAUAUAUGCCAUCUGUUU